rnacentral:rRNA from 1 species
UCCCUGGCAGCUUGCUGUCGGGGUGAGAGUGGCGAACGGGUGAGUAAUGCGUGACCAACCUGCCCUGUGCACCGGAAUAGCUCCUGGAAACGGGUGGUAAUACCGGAUGCUCCGCUCCAUCGCAUGGUGGGGUGGGAAAUGCUUUUUGCGGCAUGGGAUGGGGUCGCGUCCUAUCAGCUUGUUGGCGGGGUGAUGGCCCACCAAGGCGUUGACGGGUAGCCGGCCUGAGAGGGUGACCGGCCACAUUGGGACUGAGAUACGGCCCAGACUCC